CCCAGACUCCUACGGGAGGCAGCAGUGGGGGAUAUUGCACAAUGGGGGAAACCCUGAUGCAGCGACGCCGCGUGGGCGAAGAAGUAUUUCGGUAUGUAAAGCCCUAUCAGCAGGGAAGAAGAAAUGACGGUACCUGAGUAAGAAGCACCGGCUAAAUACGUGCCAGCAGCCGCGGUAAUACGUAUGGUGCAAGCGUUAUCCGGAUUUACUGGGUGUAAAGGGGGCGCAGACGGCGAUGCAAGCCAGGAGUGAAAGCCCGGGGCCCAACCCCGGGACUGCUCUUGGAACUGCGUGGCUGGAGUGCAGGAGGGGCAGGCGGAAUUCCUGGUGUAGCGGUGAAAUGCGUAGAUAUCAGGAGGAACACCGGUGGCGAAGGCGGCCUGCUGGACUGCAACUGACGUUGAGGCCCGAAAGCGUGGGGAGCAAACAGGAUUAGAUACCCCCGUA
rnacentral:rRNA from 1 species